rnacentral:rRNA from 1 species
GACGAGCCACACAAACGUUAUUCGGAAUCACUGGGCUUAAAGGGUGCGUAGGCGGCGCGGAAAGUGGGGUGUGAAAGCCCUCGGCUCAACCGAGGAAUUGCGCUCCAAACUACCGUGCUUGAGUGAGACAGAGGUAAGCGGAACUUCGGGCGGAACGGUGAAAUGUGUUGAUAUCCGAAGGAACACCGGUGGCGAAAGCGGCUUACUGGGUCUCAACUGACGCUGAUGCACGAAAGCCAGGGUAGCAAACGGG